GCUAGUAAUCGCGGAUCAGAAUGCCGCGGUGAAUGCGUUCCCGGGUCUUGUACACACCGCCCGUCACACCAUGGAAGUUGGGGGCGCCCGAAGUUGCCUAAGAAAUAAGGUACCUAAGGCGAAACCAAUGACUGGGGGUGAAGUCGUAACAAGGUAGC
rnacentral:rRNA from 1 species